GAAUUGACGGGGGCCCGCACAAGCGGUGGAGCAUGUGGUUUAAUUCGAUGCAACGCGAAGAACCUUACCUGGUCUUGACAUCCACGGAAGUUUUCAGAGAUGAGAAUGUGCCUUCGGGAACCGUGAGACAGGUGCUGCAUGGCUGUCGUCAGCUCGUGUUGUGAAAUGUUGGGUUAAGUCCCGCAACGAGCGCAACCCUUAUCCUUUGUUGCCAGCGGUCCGGCCGGGAACUCAAAGGAGACUGCCAGUGAUAAACUGGAGGAAGGUGGGGAUGACGUCAAGUCAUCAUGGCCCUUACGACCAGGGCUACACACGUGCUACAAUGGCGCAUACAAAGAGAAGCGACCUCGCGAGAGCAAGCGGACCUCAUAAAGUGCGUCGUAGUCCGGAUUGGAGUCUGCAACUCGACUCCAUGAAGUCGGAAUCGCUAGUAAUCGUGGAUCAGAAUGCCACGGUGAAUACGUUCCCGGGCCUUGUACACACCGCCCGUCACACCAUGGGAGUGGGUUGCAAAAGAAGUAGGUAGCUUAACCUUCGGGAGGGCGCUUACC
rnacentral:rRNA from 1 species